CUGGGGGCCAGGAUGAAGUCGUAGAUCAGGGCGGCACUUGCACCUCCCAGCAUUGGGCCCACCCAGAAGAUCUGAAAUACAACAUCAAACUCAGGAACAUGGGGUUCUGAUGGUAAAUUAUUCCACUGGUCCCACAUAUCUGCUAUCCUACAUCUAGCACCAUCUACCACACACCUGACCAAGGUGCUUGUCCUGCAAUUGGACCUGCAUGGGAUUUCUACAGGAUCGGAGCCCAGGUGCUGUAUAAGAACAAAGAACGACCAUUCAAAAUACAAGUUUGAAGAAUACCAGCUCUAAGAAGAGAGAGGAAAUGUUUCGUGUUGGAAACGGAGUAUCACUGCUUGUAGAGAACCUAGCACAACAGGGUUCUGCUCCUUGACUCAGGCUCCUAGGGUAUGUCUACACUGCCCACUAAGCCUGGGCUCUGACUCCGGUUUAAGCCCAAGCCCGUCUUCUGUCCAGAAACUGAGUAGGUUCAGCAAACGUUCAGGAAGGUCCUCUUGAUUUUGUUACAGAGUGAUAUCCAGGGGAAAGGACAGUAUCACUCAGACACAGCAAAUCUACCUCUUCCAAAGAUAAUCUUCAUCUGUAAGGAGCUUCGCAAUUGCCCAUUUACCCAAUGGCAUGGUUAAAAACCCUGAGCUUCGUUACUUGAGCAUUGAUUAUUAAGCGUUGCUCAGGGACAACACACUGCUCCCUUUCUGGGAUGAUUUUUAUCUAUAUGAACCUGGCAACCAUUCAUUGACUCCAUGGCCGUGUAGAAGAGUGUGGUCUAUAAGUAAAUCUGUCUUGGCGUUUGCAUGCAGAACUGCAGGUAGUUCUACUACAGCGCACUCCUGAUUUAAAGUAGAUAAUGUCCAGAAACAGCUUUCAUUUUUGCCGGUCUGUUUAAUGCACACUUGGAAUUACAUCACCCAUUGUUCAGUUCACAAGACCCAUCUCAAGCCUUGGUAAAGGCAAGCAGGUAAUGUAAUCUGAUGGGAUGGUUCAACAGCCUGCAAGAUUCAAGGUACAUUUAUUGUUCAAACAGUGAUCACUAGAGCUGCUCAUGGAGUGAGCAGAAUUCCUUCUCUGUGCAGUUGUGAGAAACAUAUGGCAGCCACAUUGCAAAUAGCUCUUACAGGUGACAAAAUGCUUCUCUCUUUGAUUUGUCCAUGAGUGGAGGUAUUCAAGCUACCUUCUUGCUGUUGCUCUUCAUGGACAUAUUUAGCUGACCCAUUUCCACCACUUUGAGCAGGAGUGUGGGCAAUUAAUGGCAUGUUUUCUUUCCUUUUGUUUUAUCAGAGCAGGACAUUUCUUAGUAAUCUGACUUCAAAACAGAAACAGGGAACAGGAAAUUAAACUGGCCCAAGGUGAACAUGACUAUGUACUUUUAUGGGGGCUUCAUAUUUUUUGUAUUAGGGACAAAAGUACAUCAAGUCAAAACAUGGUUCCAAUUACAUGGACAAGAGAAUAGAAAGGACAUUAUUAUUUGUUACCCAAGGUGGUUUUAUCACGUGGAACUAUGUGCCAUAUCAUCCAGCACCCUUCUAGCUAUGUAGCAUACAUUCCAGGGUUCAAUUCACUUUUAUAUAACAGGGAAUUGGUCAGUUUCUCAUCAUUCCUUUAAAAUAUGGAACUUUUUGCAAAUGAGUACAUCAACCUUGCAUAGGGGACAUAGUCAUCUUUGUAUCUUCCGAACACUUCUCUACUUGCCAUACUGAUAUGUUUUCUCCUAGCAUGAAAAUUAAGCAAUAUGGAAUGUUGAAUUUCAUUGACAAAAACCUCCAGAGUUACUUUUAGUGCCAUUCAAUUCUAGAAAUUACAGAUGGAAAAGACCUGUUAGGUCUUCCCUUUAGCAGUACUGGAAUGUUCCCUAUAGUAUGGCUUAUCUAGUCUGGUUUUAAGGAAUGGGAUUUUUAUCACCUCUCUUGGGAAUCUAUUGCAUAGUUUCACAGAGUUUAAGGCUCAAAAGCACCAUUAGAUCAUGCAGUCUGACCUCCUGUGUUUAACAGGUAAUUAAUUUUUAUCAAUAUACCCCUAUAUUAUGCCCAAAGAUUUUAGUUGGGUCAAAGCAUUAUAGUCCUAGGAGACUAAUCUGUGUGCUGCAAUUUACUUUCCUGUUCUCCCAUCUCUAUUGCUAGCUAGUCCCCUUAGACCAUCCUAAAUAAUUAUUCUCCCUUCUUCCACUAACAGGUAAUGCAUAUUUAUGCAUUAACCCUGAAGAACCCCACAUACAGCAUAGCUUGCAAAAUAACUAUAUAGCACUGUGAGAGUUAAAAGAUUCUUCCACUGUGCUGGGCUCAUUGAAAUCCUUAAUUCCCCCAAACUUUCUUUUAAUAUGUUUAGAGUGUAAAUGCAGUGUGCACAGAACCUAGCAUCUGUGGGGCAUUACUGUAAUACAGAUAAUAUAAUCAAUAAUAAUAAUAAUAAUUAAUAAUAAUAAUAAUUAAUAAUUAGUAUCUUUUCCCUACAGUGAACUCAUUCUUUAGUAUGUAACAUACAAGAAGCUUCUAAUAACUACCACUAGACAUCCCCAUAUUUCCCACCAUAGACAUUAGCUCACCCAGUCCAUCUCCCUCCCAGUGCAGGUCUGUUCCCUAAAGAACAUUUCCUGCUGCUUUCCCCAGCCGAGUUUGAAGUAUCCUAAGUGAUGCAGCUCUCCCCACUUCUUUCAGGAGGUUGUUUCACAGACAUGCACUCUCUGAAAUUGUUCCUUACUAUUUAACUUAAACACUCCCCUGCUUAAUCUUACCCUGUUCUUUCUAAUGAUAAUUCAUUGUACGACCUGAAAUGAUUAAUCUCCUUCUUUUCUAUUCAUACUCUAAAAAUAUUAAUACAUUGUUAUCAUAGCCAUUAGUCAUUAUUUAGCCAACCUACAGAGAUUCAUAUUAAACUCUAUGAAUCUCAUUUCAUAAAUCAAUAUCUGCAGUCCACCCACACAACCACUUUGUUCUACUCCAAAGUCCCUCAGUUAUUCUGUUGGUACAGGACACCUUUCCUCAGACUGGCUCAUCUGUUGUCUCCUUUAACUCAGGUAACUAUGUCCCGACCACCACAAUUCAUGGUGCUGUACCAAUUGGAUAUGAGCAGCUUCACUUCCUGUCCUAGCCUGUACUUAGGGGUUUUAUGCACCGUAGAACUAUGGCAGCAUUUAAUCCCAGUGAUGGUGGCAAUUCAAUGGGGGACCAAAACAAUCACUCUAUGUCACGUGGGUAUUUUUUAAGGGACUUCGAGAUACUGUAGGAUCACAGCACUGAAGUCAGUGGGACUGCUCACACGACUGAAGUUAGUAAAAGCUGUUAUCCAGCACUUUACAAACCGGAAAGCUCUAUAAACCGGCAUUUCUGAUCUUCACUGAAAGCCUGAUUUAUAGUCCAGUUGGUGUGGGGCCAGCAGGCUUCCAACCUGGCUCUGCUUGGCUCCCCAGAAGUGGCAACAUGUCUCUCCUGCUGCUAGGUGGAUGAACGGUCACAAGGGGUUCAGAGUGCGGGAGGGGGUGCAGGGCUGGGGGUUGGGGUGCGGGACAGGGUGUUGGGUGCAGACUCUGGGAAGGAGUUUAGGUGAGGGAGGGGCUUGGGGCAGGGGGUUGUGGCACAGGAGGGGUUUCAGGGUGCUGGAUCCAGGUGGCACUCACUUCACGUGGCUCCCCGCAAGCAGUGACCUGUCCCUGUUGCUCCUAGGAGGAGGCAUGGCUAGGUGGCUCUGCGUGCUGCCUCUGCCCUGCCCUGACCGCUGGCUCUGCAGUUCCCAUUGGCCAGGAACCGCAGCCAAUGGGAGCUGCGAGGGCAGUGCCUGUGGAUGGAGGCAGCAUGCAGAGCUGCCUAGCUGCACCUCCAACUACGAGCAUUAGGGACAGGUCAUAGCUUGCAGGGAGCUGCCCAAGGUGAGAACUGCCCAGAUCUGGCACUCCACACCCCCUCCUGCACCGCAUCCCCCUGCCCAUAAACCCCUCCUGCACCCAAACUCCCUCCCAGAGCCCACACCCUGUACCUCUUCCCACGCCCCAACCCCCACCCUGCACCCCCUCCUGCACCCAAACUCCCUCCCUCUUAGUUAACCGAAAUUUUUUCCUUAUCGGCACCUCCAUUCCCCCACCAGGCUGGAUAAAAGAGCUUUUACUACAUGUGCUUUGUUGCAUACUGUUUUGUUCAGUUGGGGUCAAAAUACGCUAUGGCCACGAUCUGGCAAAGCACAGAAGUAUGUGCAUAACUUCAAUCGUGAUUAAUAUUCCACAUGCUUAAGUGCUUUGUCAAAUCAGGGCCCAGAUUCUGUGAGUUAUUAUAAAGUUAUCAAUAUUGCGAUGAAGUUGUCAUCUUCAUAACUUUACAAAGGCUUUGACAUUCAGAUUUACCUUUGUUUGUUACACAGCAGGUAAAGCAUUAAGAGUUCUCCCUGAGUUGACUAUUUAAUAAUGUUAAAUCCUCAGCAGUUGGGUAAUUGAUUAAUCAUAACAUGUUAAUAAUUGUUCUGUAUGGUAGACCUCAAACCACUUUUGUGGAAGAGCUCAAACCACUUGACAAACAAUAAUUAAUUAACAACAUGCCUGUGAGACAGGCAUUAUUACACCCAUUAUUUAGCUGGUUUUGAUUUAUAUAGUGCCACUUGUCCGAAAUCUCUGGGACACAAAGAGAUUUAAGUGGGCUUUUUGUCUCAGACCACACAACAAGGGCAUGCUCCAAAACUCAUUGAAGUUAAUGGAAAUCUUUUUAAAAGACUUCAUCAGCCUGUCGGUCAGUGAUAGAACCUGCAGUAGACUAUGGGGGCAUAACUUCCUGUCCUCUGCCAGACUCUCCCUCCCAACAAAUACAGAUGAGAAAAUCCUAGAUGCCAGCCCAGGCAUUUCUCUAAGAACAGCUGUCUUCCACUCUUUGGACAGUAGACAAUCUCAAAUAAUAAGACCCAACCACUAUCCUCCAACCCUCUCCACUACAGGGUGAGAAAUUAGUCAUUCCUUUUGUGUUACAGGGCCCAAUGGGCUAUAAAGAGAAGAAUGAUGGCUUCAUUUAUAUUAAACCAAUGUAUAUAAAUCUAAUGUAUGUGUCCAGUGGCAGACAAUAAAUGUCAAUAUAUCUACAAGUCUUUCAUUAAACAUCGCCUGUGUGAGGCAAA